rnacentral:rRNA from 1 species
UACGGAGGGUGCAAGCGUUAUCCGGAUUCACUGGGUUUAAAGGGUGCGUAGGUGGGCAGGUAAGUCAGUGGUGAAAUCACCAAGCUUAACUUGGAAACUGCCGUUGAUACUAUCUGUCUUGAAUACCGUGGAGGUGAGCGGAAUAUGUCAUGUAGCGGUGAAAUGCUUAGAUAUGAACAUAGAACACCAAUUGCGAAGGCAGCUACGCUA